rnacentral:rRNA from 1 species
CCUACGGGGGGCAGCAGUGGGGAAUUUUGGACAAUGGGCGAAAGCCUGAUCCAGCCAUUCCGCGUGCAGGAUGAAGGCCCUCGGGUUGUAAACUGCUUUUGUACAGAACGAAAAGGUUUCUACUAAUACUAGGAGCUCAUGACGGUACUGUAAGAAUAAGCACCGGCUAACUACGUGCCAGCAGCCGCGGUAAUACGUAGGGUGCAAGCGUUAAUCGGAAUUACUGGGCGUAAAGCGUGCGCAGGCGGUUAUAUAAGUCAGAUGUGAAAUCCCCGGGCUCAACCUGGGAACUGCAUUUGAGACUGUAUAGCUAGAGUACGGUAGAGGGGGAUGGAAUUCCGCGUGUAGCAGUGAAAUGCGUAGAUAUGCGGAGGAACACCGAUGGCGAAGGCAAUCCCCUGGACCUGUACUGACGCUCAUGCACGAAAGCGUGGGGAGCAAACAGGAUUAGAUACCCUGGUAGUCCACGCCCUAAACGAUGUCAACUGGUUGUUGGGUCUUAACUGACUCAGUAACGAAGCUAACGCGUGAAGUUGACCGCCGUGGGGAGUACGGCCGCAAGGUUGAAACGUCGAAAGGAAGUUGACGG